UACGGAGGGUGCAAGCGUUAUCCGGAUUCACUGGGUUUAAAGGGUGCGUAGGAGGGCAGGUAAGUCAGUGGUGAAAUCUCCAAGCUUAACUUGGAAACUGCCGUUGAUACUAUCUGUCUUGAAUACCGUGGAGGUGAGCGGAAUAUGUCAUGUAGCGGUGAAAUGCUUAGAUAUGACAUAGAACACCAAUUGCGGAGGCAGCUCGCUACACGAAUAUUGACUCUGAGGCACGAAAGCGUGGGGAUCAAACAGG
rnacentral:rRNA from 1 species